CAACGAUUUUUGUGCCGUGGCCUUUGUGUCGGGUUGUCGUGGAAAGUUGGGUGGACAUCGCAAAGAAAUCAUUCCUAUUGGUAGCGUGCCUCAGAUCGUCCACUACGCAGCGGCAUGUAUGCUGGGAGUAACAUCGUCGACGCAGCACCGGCAACUUGGAGAGCGUCGUGCCAUUGAAAAGUGGUGAGGCCGUGACCCACAGCAGUGUCCACAUGAUGGCAGGGAACCUGUGGCCCUGGCUACAGCAGCACAGCAUGUAAUCUGGAUGUCAUGUCAGGUGAACGUUCUUAUCUGGCCUGAAGUCCUAUGGCGGCAAUGCACGACCGGAUUGGGGAGGCUGAGGUUCAGGGCAAGAGCCUUUAUGGAAAGGGCAGUAACAGGCACAAGGAGGACCCAGUGAAGGAGGGAUUGGAUCCAGUUCAUCUGAAUGCUGUAAUUGGUAUGUAUUAUUUUCAUUGUGAAGACUGAAUAAUACUGCAUGGGAAAGUUGUACUUUCGGGCAGUGUAGCGUACUUUCAUAAUUUCUGUAGAUGAGGCUCACAAGCGGAAACGACCUUUGCACUCUCAUGAAGGAAAGCGGCCAUUUGUGUGGGUCAUUCCACGCCAACCGUCCCAAAAUCAUCAGCCCUUGCUAAAUUGUCGAGUUGCCAUGGUCCAUUGAUCCUUGGCGAAGUC